AUUGAACGCUGGCGGCAUGCCUUACACAUGCAAGUCGAACGGCAGCACGGGAGCAAUCCUGGUGGCGAGUGGCGAACGGGUGAGUAAUAUAUCGGAACGUGCCCAGUCGUGGGGGAGUAACGUAGCGAAAGACUACGUUAAUACCGCAUACGAUCUAUGGAUGAAAGCGGGGGAGUCGCAAGACCUCGCGCGAUUGGAGCGGCCGAUAUCAGAUUAGGUAGUUGGUGGGGUAAAAGACCUACCAAGCCUUCGAUCUGUAGCUGGUCUGAGAGGACGACCAGCCACACUGGAACUGAGACACGGUCCAGACUCCUACGGGAGGCAGCAGUGGGGAAGUUUUGGACAAUGGGCGGCAAGACCUGAUCCAGCAAUGCCGCGUGCAGGA
rnacentral:rRNA from 1 species